UACAGCGGUCCCAAGCGUUGUUCGGAUUCACUGGGCGUAAAGGGUGCGUAGGUGGCUUGGUAAGUUUGAUGUGAAAUCUCCGGGCUUAACCCGGAAAUGGCAUUGAAUACUAUUGAGCUGGAGGUUUGGAGGGGGGACUGGAAUUCUCGGUGUAGCAGUGAAAUGCGUAGAUAUCGAGAGGAACACCUGCGGCGAAGGCGGGUUGCUGGGCUGACACUGACGCUGAAGUGCGAAAGCUAGGGGAGCGAACGGG
rnacentral:rRNA from 1 species